UUGAACAUGGUCAACUGUCCUCAAGGAAGACAACAAUGUCCGGGAGACAGAUACAGAUCGUGACGAUGUGGGAUGGUCCAGGCAGAGCUAAAGCCCUGCCAGCUUGGGUUUCAUUUCUUCGGUGGAGCCUCCACGCUUCCUCCCAGGAAAGGAGGAAGGGAAGAGAAGGGGAGAGGUGGCUUCUCUAGGUGAGCGCAUCAGCUGGCUUCAGCCCGCACAGGCAAGAAUUCUCUUCGCAGGAAGCUCCUCUUGCUCCCCUGCCGCCCACCCCCGCCAGCCCGGCAGCCAUAUCAUCACAACUGCUCAGAGGCCACGUCUCUUUGGGCAUUAGGAUCAAAGAACGUGCGGGAGAGAGACAACAUCCAAGACACCAUCAGUAAAGGUACCAUUUUCUGUGAACCUUUUACCAUCCAUCAUUGCAAUGGCCAGUUUGAGGCUUUCACUUGUGACUGCAUAUUCCCGGGGAUCUGAGACUCUGUCACUGCAACAACAACCUGAGGGAUAGUCUCUUUGCAAAGAGGUGGUCAAGAGGGCGAGCUCCCCUGGGUUUCCUGCUGUCUCAGGAAAAGCCGGAGAAACUGGGCACCAAGGUUUUGGCUUCUCAUAAAAUAUUCCUGAAAUGCAUCUCAUAACGUAGUUGGUCAUAAAAGUACAUUACUGUGCUCCGCCCCUCCAAGAGGCUGGACUGGAUGCCAGCCCAACCCUACCCACUCUGAGUCUACGUGAAUCAGUGCUAAAUUAUUCACCAGUCUGACUUUAAAAUUUCUAGAGUUCCAAAACCUCUAAUAAAGUAUUAUG